GGAGUGGUGGCUCAGUGGUAGAAUUCUCACCUUCCAUGCGGGAGACCUGGGUUCGAUUCCCGGCUAAUGCA
rnacentral:tRNA from 1 species